rnacentral:lncRNA from 1 species
GUCAAAAUAGAGGCAAUAGCAGCAAUAGGAGUUGUGUAGGGUUUUAGAAGAGAGAUACAGUUGUUGUCUCUGUGGGUUGUGGAGGCCGGAGGGGAGAAGAGAAGAGUUGUUUAGAAAGAGAGACAAUCAGCAAUGGAUUCGUUUUCAUCCCCAUCAAGUGGAUCUUCUGCAACCCAAUUCAACCCUGACGCUUUCAAGGACCAGCUUAAGAACCAACUUGCUCAGGCUUAUGCCGAGGAGUUCUUGGAGGUAAAUCUCUCUCUCUCUCUCUCUCUCUCUCUCUCUCUCUCUCUCUUUAUAUUUAUGGGUUUCUUAUAUUCGUCACCAUAUUGGGUUUAUUUUGUGUAUGUAAAUAUGCAAUCUUGGAGUUGAGUAUAAAUUUGUUGAUUUCUGGUUCACUUGUUUAAGUCUUGUAAUAGAAUGCCGUGCCUUUGUUCGUUUGAUGGUUAAAUAAUUUUAGUAUGCAAUAUCAGUUCAUAUUUUUUUCUAUGUUUGUGAAAUUUAUAUUGAACUUCAAAUAUUUAUCAAGGUAUAAAAGCUUGUUCUUUUAAUGCUAGUGAGUUCCCAUGGAUCACUUGUUUAAGACUUGCAAUAGAAUGCCUGCCCUUCUUUUGUUUGUUGGGUAAACUAUUUGAGUCUGCAAAUACAUAUUCAUGCAUGUUCUGUGUAUGUGUGAAGCCUAUUUUGAACUUAUAGAGGUAUUAAGGUAUAAAAGUUUGUUCUUUUAAUCCUGGUCAUUGUUGUGGGUUUCUUUUGAUUAAAAGAAAAUUCUUUAAUGAUCAAAUAGAACUGCGUCUAUCUUUUCUUCUGAUUCCUAUUUGUUAGAAGUUAGACCAGUUAGAGUUUGUUGUUUCUUCAACAAAUCAAAUACUAGUCAUCAUGUCUAUAUUCCUUUCUUUUUCCUUUGGUUUUCCUUGUGUUUGUCAAGCCUAGGCUAUGACAUAUAUAUUCCGAUACGUUUAUGAGUUAUAUCAUCUUGGGAAGUUGCCUUGGGAAAAUUUCCAAAAUGUUGGAUAUGAAGUAUGAAGUUACUAAGAAUCUGAGUUGGGGAAAUCGCCCUACCAAACCGCAUGUGAAUGUACCCCUACAUAGAUAGCUUAGACGAAUGUAGUGGGUAUUCAUAUUGAUAUUUCAGAUAUCUCCAUGUUUGCAUAUGCUUAGAGAUGGGGCCCUUUUAGGUCUUAAGUUUCAACAUUGUGAUGCCAUUAAAUAUUAUGUACUCAAACUUGCAGGCGGUGUUAGUCAUUACUUUCUUGAAUUUCAAAGGAAAAUCUCCAAGUUUUUUAGUUUUUUGAAUUCACUUUUCUGUUGUUUUCUGUAUAUGCCAGUACCACUUUUCUUUUUCUAACUGUUCUUCUCACCUGUUUUUCAUUUGUCACGCAGACCCUGAGGUCAAAGUGCUUCGACAAGUGCAUCACAAAACCAGGAUCCAGCCUAGGUGGGAGUGAGAGUAGCUGCAUCUCUAGAUGUAUGGAUCGCUAUAUUGAGGCCACUGGCAUCAUCAGUAAAGCCCUCUUUAGUGCAUCCCCACAAUGAAAUUUUGGGGAUUAAAUUGUUUUCUUUGAAGAAAGUCGAAGUUGCAAAAGUUAAAAGAAACUACAAAUGCAAGUAGAGAUUGCGUUUUGUAUUCUAUCUCGAAGAUAAUACUUUUAUUGGAACAGAUGUUUAAUUCAUUAUGCUUGCUAAUUUUUGUACUUGAAGUUUAGCCAUGGAGAUUGGAGACUCUUCCUCUGUGCCACUUCUCCUACUGCAUAUUGAUUUAGAUACUCUACCCUGUUAUAGUAGAGAGCAGCGUAUACAUGCUUUAGAAAUGUAGCAGUGGAUUUUGUGGCAAAAUAUAUAGCUGC